AUUGAACGCUGGCGGCAGGCCUAACACAUGCAAGUCGAACGAGUGGCGGACGGGUGAGUAACGUCUGGGAAACUGCCCGAUGGAGGGGGAUAACUACUGGAAACGGUAGCUAAUACCGCAUACCAUCGGAUUUGCCCAGAUGGGAUUAGCUAGUAGGUGGGGUAACGGCUCACCUAGGCGACGAUCCCUAGCUGGUCUGAGAGGAUGACCGACCACACUGGAACGGAGACACGGGCCAGACUCCAACGGGGGGCAGCAGUGGGGAAUAUUGCACAAUGAGCGCAAGCCUGAUGCGGCCAUGCCGCGUGGAGGAGAAGGGCCUUCGGGUGUUAAAGUACUUUCAGCGAGGAGGCGUUACUCGAAGAAGAAGCAACGGCUAACUCCGUGCCAGCAGCCGCGGUAAUAC
rnacentral:rRNA from 1 species